GUUGGCUCAGAAGCAGCCACUCAUUUAAAGAGUGCGUAAUAGCUCACUGGUCGAGCGUCUCUGCGCGGAAAAUUUAACGGGGCUAAGAUACAAACCGAAGCUUAGGCUGCACGUAAGUGCGGGGUAGGGGAGCGUUGUGUAAGCGGAGAAACAGUAGCGUAAGCGGCUGUGGAGUUUACAGAAGUGAGAAUGCCGGAAUGAGUAGCGCGAAUGUGGUGAGAAUCCACAUGGCCGGAAACCUCAGGUUUUUGGAGGAAGGUUCGUCCGCUCCAAGUUAGGCGGGAGCUAAGGUGAGGCCGAAAGGCGUAGCCGAUGCACAGACGGUAGAGAUUCCGUCACCACCAAAAGAGUUAAGCACAGGGACACAUUUGAAGUCUCAGAGCCGGGUGUUGGUUCCGGUAGAGAUCGAGGGAAAUUAGUACCGAAGUCUGAGAUGGAAGAUGGCGAGAAAAGCUGUGUGUAUUUCUGAGGUGCCCGUACCGCAAACCGACACAGGUAGGUAGGAAGAAGAUUCUAAGGCCAACGGGAGAAGGGUUGUUAAGGAACUCGGCAAGUUGACCCCGUAACUUCGGAAUAAGGGGUGCUCACGAGAGUGAGCCGCAGAGAAUAGGCCCAGGCAACUGUUUACCAAAAACACAGGUUUGUGCUAAAUCGAAAGAUGACGUAUACGAGCUGACGCCUGCCCGGUGCUGGAAGGUUAAAAGGAGAUGUGCAAGCAUUGAAUUGAAGCCCCAGUGAACGGCGGCCGUAACAAUAACGGUCCUAAGGUAGCGAAAUUCCUUGUCAGGUAAGUUCUGACCCGCAUGAAAGGCGUAAUGAUUUGGGCACUGUCUCAACAGCCCGCCCGGCGAAAUUGUAGUACCGGUGAAGAUGCCGGUUACCCGCGACAAGACGGAAAGACCCCAUGGAGCUUUACUGUAGCCUAAUAUUGGGUUUCGAUGUUGCAUGCACAGGAUAGAUGGGACACAGGGAAACAAUCGCUUUGGCGGUUGCGGAGUGGCCGUUGGGAUACCAUCCUUGCGAUAUUGGAAUUCUAACCUGCGGCUCUGAAUCGAGUCGGGGGACAUUGUUAGGUGGGCAGUUUGACUGGGGCGGUCGCCUCCUAAAAAGUAACGGAGGCGUUCAAAGGUUCGCUCAGCUUGAACGGAAAUCAAGCAAAAGAGUGCAAACGCAGAAGCGAGCCUAACUGCGAGACUGACGGGUCGAGCAGUAACGAAAGUUGGAGUUAGUGAUCCGGUGGUAUGUGAGUGGAAAUGCCAUCGCUCAACGGAUAAAAGCUACCCUGGGGAUAACAGGCUGAUCUCCCCCAAGAGUCCACAUCGACGGGGAGGUUUGGCACCUCGAUGUCGGCUCAUCGCAUCCUGGGGCUGUAUUCGGUCCCAAGGGUUUGGCUGUUCGCCAAUUAAAGCGGUACGCGAGCUGGGUUCAGAACGUCGUGAGACAGUUCGGUCCCUAUC
rnacentral:rRNA from 1 species